GUCUAUAGCCGUACCACCCUGAACACACCCAAUCUCAUCUGAUCUUGAAAGCUAAGCGGGGUCGGGCUUGGUUAGUACUUGGGUGGGAGAAUUUAAAGAGAGUCUUGUAGAAC
ensembl:rRNA 5S_rRNA 5S ribosomal RNA